rnacentral:SRP_RNA from 1 species
CCGUGCUAGAUGGGGAGUUAGCGGCACCCUAUAACCUGCAAUCCGCUAUAGCAGGGUUGAAUUCCCGUUGGAGGCUUCUCUAUUGUAGGGUCUGCCCCAGACAAGUGGUGUUGACGAUUGGGUCCUACGCAACGGAAACUCAUGAACCCCGUCAGGUCCGGAAGGAAGCAGCGGUAAGUGAAUCUUUUCGUGUGCCGUAGGGGCGCCUGGUUCGAGCAAACUAUCUGGGUAACGCUUGGAGUAGGGAUGUCGAUAACGGGUGCACGG